rnacentral:rRNA from 1 species
CGCGAGCUGGGUUUAGAACGUCGUGAGACAGUUCGGUCCCUAUCUGCCGUGGGCGCAGGAGAUUUGCGAAGAGUUGCCCCUAGUACGAGAGGACCGGGGUGAACGAACCGCUGGUGUUCGGGUUGUCUCGCCAGAGGCAUUGCCCGGUAGCUAUGUUCGGACGGGAUAACCGCUGAAGGCAUCUAAGCGGGAAGCCUCCUUCAAGACGAGAUCUCCCUGAGGAUCCGGGCUUGCCUGGCUCCUCCUGAAGUGCCGUUGAAGACGACGACGUUGAUAGGCCGGGUGUGUAAGCGCUGUGAGGCGUUGAGCUAACCGGUACUAAUUGCACGUGAGGCUUGAUCGC